AACCCCACUUUAGUACCUUCCAUUCAGUCUAAAUGAAUGGAGGGCUAUGCUAAUGGGGAAAAGAAACACUGUCAUGGUCUGAAGGUGUGGCUAGCUGACUGUGCGCCCCGCUAAAUAAAAUGACAGAACACGUGAAA
rnacentral:snoRNA from 1 species